CCUACGGGAGGCAGCAGUGGGGAAUAUUGGGCAAUGGGCGCAAGCCUGACCCCGCAACGCCGCGUGAAGGAAGAAGGCUUUCGGGUUGUAAACUUCUCUUCUCAGGGACGAAGCAAGUGACGGUACCUGCGGAAUACGCCACGGGUAACUACGCGACAACCGCCGCGGGAAUCCGUAGGUGGCAAGCGUUAUCCGGAGUUACUGGGUGUAAAGGGCGGGUAGGCGGGGACGCAAGUCAGAUGUGAAAGCCACGGGCUCAGCCUGUGGCCUGCAUUUGAAACUGUGUUUCUUGAGUACUGGAGAGGCAGACGGAAUUCCUAGUGUAGCGGUGAAAUGCGUAGAUAUUAGGAGGAACACCAGUGGCGAAGGCGGUCUGCUGGACAGCAACUGACGCUGAGGCGCGAAAGCGUGGGGAGCAAACAGGAUUAGAUACCCUUGUAGUC
rnacentral:rRNA from 1 species